GACGAACGCUGGCGGCGUGCCUAAUACAUGCAAGUCGAGCGGAAGUUGGAGAGCUUGCUCUUCAACUUUAGCGGCGGACGGGUGAGUAACACGUGGGCAACCUGCCCUGCAGAUCGGGAUAACUCCGGGAAACCGGUGCUAAUACCGAAUAGUUUUCGCCACCUCCUGGUGGCGUACGGAAAGACGGUUUCGGCUGUCACUGCAGGAUGGGCCCGCGGCGCAUUAGCUAGUUGGUGGGGUAACGGCCCACCAAGGCGACGAUGCGUAGCCGACCUGAGAGGGUGAUCGGCCACACUGGGACUGAGACACGGCCCAGACUCCUACGGGAGGCAGCAGUAGGGAAUCUUCCGCAAUGGACGAAAGUCUGACGGAGCAACGCCGCGUGAGUGACGAAGGUUUUCGGAUCGUAAAACUCUGUUGUGAGGGAAGAACAAGUACCAAUUAACUACUGGUACCUUGACGGUACCUCACCAGAAAGCCACGGCUAACUACGUGCCAGCCGCCGCCGUAAGAC
rnacentral:rRNA from 1 species